AGAGUUUGAUCCUGGCUCAAAUUGAACGCUGGCGGCAUGCCUUACACAUGCAAGUCGAACGGUAACGCGGGGCAACCUGGCGACGAGUGGCGAACGGGUGAGUAAUGCAUCGGAACGUGCCCGGUAGUGGGGGAUAACUGCUCGAAAGAGCAGCUAAUACCGCAUACGACCUGAGGGUGAAAGGGGGGGAUCGCAAGACCUCCCGCUAUCGGAGCGGCCGAUGUCGGAUUAGCUAGUUGGUGGGGUAAAGGCCCACCAAGGCAACGAUCCGUAGCUGGUCUGAGAGGACGACCAGCCACACUGGGACUGAGACACGGCCCAGACUCCUACGGGAGGCAGCAGUGGGGAAUUUUGGACAAUGGACGCAAGUCUGAUCCAGCAAUGCCGCGUGCGGGAAGAAGGCCUUCGGGUUGUAAACCGCUUUUGUCAGGGAAGAAAUCUUCUGGGUUAAUACCUCGGGAGGAUGACGGUACCUGAAGAAUAAGCACCGGCUAACUACGUGCCAGCAGCCGCGGUAAUACGUAGGGUGCAAGCGUUAAUCGGAAUUACUGGGCGUAAAGCGUGC
rnacentral:rRNA from 1 species